rnacentral:rRNA from 1 species
AACGAACGCUGGCGGCAUGCCUAACACAUGCAAGUCGAACGAGACCUUCGGGUCUAGUGGCGCACGUGUGCGUAACGCGUGGGAACCUGCCCUUAGGUUCGGAAUAACUCCCCGAAAGGGGUGCUAAUACCGGAUAAUGUCUUCGGACCAAAGAUUUAUCGCCUUUGGAUGGGCCCGCGUUGGAUUAGCUAGUUGGUAGGGUAAAAGCCUACCAAGGCGACGAUCCAUAGCUGGUCUGAGAGGAUGAUCAGCCACACUGGGACUGAGACACGGCCCAGACUCCUACGGGAGGCAGCAGUGGGGAAUAUUGGACAAUGAGCGAAAGCCUGAUCCAGCAAUGCCGCGUGAGUGAUGAAGGCCUUAGGGUUGUAAAGCUCUUUUACCCGGGAUGAUAAUGACAGUACCGGGAGAAUAAGCUCCGGCUAACUCCGUG